UACAAAUCCCUGAGCCGGAUGAGGCGAGAGCAGUGGAGGCCAUGCAGAAGGGGACUACAUCUCCUGAGUUUUUUGGGUCGCUAUGCAGAAAGCCACCCACCACCCUAGCGGAGCUGAUGAAGAGAGCCGAGAAGUACAUAAGGCAAGACGAUGCCUUAACCACUAGCAGGUUCGACAGGGAGGCUAGAGAUAGGGGAAGGCCGUAGAAGAGAGAAGGCAUGAGAGG
rnacentral:lncRNA from 1 species